GAGGUAGUGACAAUAAAUCACAAUGCGGAACUUUUAGUUUUGCAAUUGGAUUGAGAACAAUGUACAAAUGUUAUCGAUAAACAAUUGGAGGGCAAGUCUGGUGCCAGCAGCCGCGGUAAUUCCAGCUCCAAUAGCGUAUAUUAACGUUGUUGCAGUUAAAAAGCUCGUAGUUGAAAUGUGGGAUGAAGUAUAUAAUGAAUUUCUAAUUCAAUUCUAUAUUGAUUCCCCUCUCCAAUUUAUUAUUAUGGGUAUUAAUUUAUUUGUAAUAAGAAUUGGUCAUUUACUGAGAGAAAAUUAGAGUGUUCAAAGCAGGCAUUUGCUUGAAUAGAUUAGCAUGGAAUAAUACUAAAAGGCUUUUAUGGUCGAUUUAAUUGGUUUGUUCAUAAAAGCAAGACUAAAAGGAACAGUUGGGGGUAUUCAUAUUCAAUAGUUAGAGGUGAAAUUCUCGGAUUUAUGGAAGAUGAACAAGUGCGAAAGCA
rnacentral:rRNA from 1 species